GAUGAAGAACGUAGCGAAAUGCGAUAAGUAAUGUGAAUUGCAGAAUUCAGUGAAUCAUCGAAUCUUUGAACGCACAUUGCGCCCUCUGGUAUUCCGGAGGGCAUGCCUGUCCGAGCGUCAUUGCUGCCCUCAAGCACGGCUUGUGUGUUGGGCCCCGCCCCCCGAUCCCGGGGGGCGGGCCCGAAAGGCAGCGGCGGCACCGCGUCCGGUCCUCGAGCGUAUGGGGCUUUGUCACCCGCUCUGUAGGCCCGGCCGGCGCCUGCCGAUCAACCAAACUUUUUUCCAGGUUGACCUCGGAUCAGGUAGGGAUACCCGCUGAACUUAAGCAUAUCAAUAAGCGGAGGA
rnacentral:misc_RNA from 1 species